rnacentral:rRNA from 1 species
GACGGGCCCGCACAAGCAGCGGAGCGUGUGGUUUAAUUCGAUGCUACACGAAGAACCUUACCAGGGUUUGACAUGCAAGUGGUAGGAAGCCGAAAGGUGACCGACCCUUCGGGGAGCUUGCACAGGUGCUGCAUGGCUGUCGUCAGCUCGUGUCGUGAGAUGUUCGGUUAAGUCCGCUAACGAGCGCAACCCUCGCUGUGUGUUAUAUGUGUCACACGGGACUGCCGGUCUUAAGCCGGAGGAAGGUGGGGAUGAUGUCAAGUCAGCAUGGCCUUUAUAUCCUGGGCUACACACACGCUACAAUGGCCAACACAAUAGGUUGCUAAGCCGCGAGGUGGCGCCAAUCCAUAAAGUUGGUCUCAGUUCAGAUUGUAGGCUGCAACCCGCCUGCAUGAAGAUGGAGUUGCUAGUAACCGCAGGUCAGCUAUACUGCGGUGAAUACGUUCCCGGGGCUU